CUCUUCCACAAGCCCCAGGAGACAUCCUCUAAUAUCUCAUUGGUUAAAACUGGGACUCGGUAUCCACAGGAAGAAGGCGAUGUGCUGUGUGAGCAACCAACAUCAUCCUGCCAUAAAGAAGUGAACAAGGUAGCUGAGGGUUCGAAGACAAGGGAACUGGAGGAACAGAACAUGCAAAGUUGUUCUGAUCCAGUCCAAGGGCUACAUCACUACAUGCUUCUCAAACUGGAGGAUGCACAGCCCUGAUUCUGUGAGGGAGCAGGCCAAACAAGAGUAUCCAAUGUAUCUUUCUGAAGCACCAAGUUUAUUACAAGACUUGGAAGAACCAAGUACUUUCAUGUGAGAAUCACCCCCUCACACAAACAUGGAAGGAAAGGAAAACAGGAGAGGUGAAAAGGACCCCAAGAGAACAGGCUGGCUGAGGGGUGGACCUGCGGCGAGGGGGCCUCUCCUGUUGUCCCCGAGGCGGCCUCAGACAUCCUCCAUGCUCAGCAGGUAUUUUUGGCCUUGGGUUUUGCAGGCCACAGAGAUGCCCGGUGCCCUUCUGAUGUGAAUUUGUGCAGAGAACAUCGUGGCAGUUUGCACAGCUCCACUGUCCACUGGAUCUAGUGCUCUCUCGCCCAGGGGUCCUGGCACCCACAGUGUGCACAUUAUGCUCCUCUUCUUCUGGAAGCUCUCUGUGCCCAGCCUUUGGCCUUUCUCCCUGCACCACAUGACCGGGCUCCCAGUAGCUCAUCAUGAUUUAAUUCUUCAUUUAAAGUGGAGAAUGUGUAACUUGACCUCCUUGGAUUCUUGGGUUGUAUCCUUCCUUGGCUGCCCACCAUUUACAUGGACUCUACAUUUUUCCAAGCUUUUUUUGUGGAUGACCUGAAGUAGAACUUUUUCCACAUAAAGACCGAGAUUCUCCUGGUGACCCCUGCAGGCCCUUGCUGGUUCCCGCUGGGGAUCCACAGCUGCUGCUAUGAUUAUCAGAUCGUUUUGGGUGUCCAGGAAUCCACAGAGCCACCCUGGAGGCUGGGCUGGGUGUGGCGGCCCUUGACUCCGAGAUGACUGGUGGAAUGGCAGGCUCCUGGGUCUUCUGUCAUGACUCCUGGUCCUUGGGCUGCUUAUAUAUUUCCAGACACAUGGAGAACUCUGGGUAAACCGCCUGAGUUGGGGAGGGACCAACUGUGUGGUCAGGGGAACAGAAGGGCCCUAUCACAACGGUGUGGCACUCCAGUUUUGGUUUCUUGCUGCUCAUAAUGAGACAAGUGGCCACUAUGUUGGUGAACCUCUUGUGCUUUUCUGGCUCUGGGAUCUCACCCUACUCCAACCCCAGGCUCAUCAUCUGUCUGUCACCCAGGAGUCCAUGUCAUCACAGGGAGGCUCGCUGUGAGGACUGAGUAUUUCUUCUUGGCCCAUGUUUAACCAUGGUCCUCCCAUAAACUUCCUCUGUC